rnacentral:rRNA from 1 species
ACGACUCUCGGCAACGGAUAUCUCGGCUCUCGCAUCGAUGAAGAACGUAGCGAAAUGCGAUACUUGGUGUGAAUUGCAGAAUCCCGUGAACCAUCGAGUCUUUGAACGCAAGUUGCGCCCGAAACCUUCGGGUCGAGGGCACGUCUGCCUGGGCGUCA